CACCUGGGUAUUAGCCGCCAUAUGAGUGCUUGGUUUUGGCCACAUGAGACAGCCGUAAUAUAUGAGCACACCACAAACACCUGAGAAAAACACAGCCACAGAAUUAUGGCUCAAAAAAUAAAACAACAAACCCUCAGCAAGCUAUGUUCUCAUGGUGAAUGGAGCCGCACUGCCUUUUUAGGCUUGGAGCCUAUGAAAGACUGGGAUGGCAUUCAUGGGCAAGUGCAGCAGGCAAAAACAAUUCUGCAACUUACCACAGUUUUCCUCAUCAGCACCAUUUGCACAGUCUUUGUGUCCAUUACAGUGCAGGAGUUGAGUCACAUGUACACAUUACUUUUGACCUUUGAUGAUGACGCCGCUGUUCGUGCUGCCUUUUUAUGACGUCACGUUACGAGCGAAAGUUGCAUACUGGCUUGAGGAAGCGAUGUAAAAGCGUGAAACAGUCUGUUCUGGUUGUGCUCCCCACCUCCACCUUUGCACCCACCUGCCACUAUUGCAAUGCCUGAAUAAAGCCAUG